rnacentral:rRNA from 1 species
GAACGCUGGCGGCAUGCCUUACACAUGCAAGUCGAACGGCAGCGCGGGCUUCGGCCUGGCGGCGAGUGGCGAACGGGUGAGUAAUACAUCGGAACGUGCCCUGUCGUGGGGGAUAACUAGUCGAAAGAUUAGCUAAUACCGCAUACGACCUGAGGGUGAAAGCGGGGGACCGCAAGGCCUCGCGCGAUAGGAGCGGCCGAUGUCUGAUUAGCUAGUUGGUGGGGUAAAGGCCUACCAAGGCGACGAUCAGUAGCUGGUCUGAGAGGACGAUCAGCCACACUGGGACUGAGACACGGCCCAGACUCCUACGGGAGGCAGCAGUGGGGAAUUUUGGACAAUGGGGGCAACCCUGAUCCAGCAAUGCCGCGUGUGUGAAGAAGGCCUUCGGGUUGUAAAGCACUUUUGUCCGGAAAGAAAUGGCCCUGGCUAAUACCCGGGGUCGAUGACGGUACCGGAAGAAUAAGCACCGGCUAACUACGUGCCAGCAGCCGCGGUAAUACGUAGGGUGCGAGCGUUAAUCGGAAUUACUGGGCCGUAAAGCGUGCGCAGGCGGUUUGAUAAGACAGGCGUGAAAUCCCCGGGCUCAACCUGGGAAUGGCGCUGUGACUGUCAGGCUAGAGUGCGUCAGAGGGG